rnacentral:rRNA from 1 species
UACGGGGGGGGCAAGCGUUGUUCGGAAUUACUGGGCGUAAAGGGCUCGUAGGUGGCCAACUAAGUCAGACGUGAAAUCCCUCGGCUUAACCGGGGAACUGCGUCUGAUACUGGAUGGCUUGAGUUUGGGAGAGGGACGCGGAAUUCCAGGUGUAGCGGUGAAAUGCGUAGAUAUCUGGAGGAAUACCGGUGGCGAAGGCGGCAUCCUGGACCGACAUUGACGCUGAACGGCGAAAGCUAGGGGAGCGAAACGGG